CACGUAGUUAGCCGGGGCUUUCUCGUGAGGUACCGUCACCGCGCCGCCCUCUUCGAACGGCGCUCCUUCGUCCCUCACAACAGAGCUUUACGACCCGAAGGCCUUCUUCGCUCACGCGGCGUCGCUCCGUCAGGCUUUCGCCCAUUGCGGAAGAUUCCCUACUGCUGCCUCCCGUAGGAGUCUGGGCCGUGUCUCAGUCCCAGUGUGGCCGGUCACCCUCUCAGGCCGGCUACGCAUCGUCGCCUUGGUGAGCCGUUACCUCACCAACUAGCUAAUGCGCCGCGGGCCCAUCCGCAAGUGACAGCCCAAAGGCCGCCUUUCAACCGAAGACCAUGCGGUCUUCGGUGUUAUCCGGUAUUAGCUCCGGUUUCCCGGAGUUAUCCCGGUCUUGCGGGCAGGUUGCCCACGUGUUACUCACCCGUCCGCCGCUGACCGAAUCAAGGCAAGCCCCAAUCCGGUCCGCUCGACUUGCAUGUAUUAGGCACGCCGCCAGCGUUCGUCCUGAGCCAGGAUCAAACUCU
rnacentral:rRNA from 1 species